rnacentral:rRNA from 1 species
CUUUACAGCCAUGCUACCCUGAACAAGCCCAAUCCCGUCUGAUCUCGGAAGUUAAGCAGAGUUGGGCCUGGUUAGUACUUGGAUGAGAGACCAUCUAGGAAGACCAGGUGCUGUAGGCA